rnacentral:rRNA from 1 species
AGGAUGAACGCUAGCGACAGGCUUAACACAUGCAAGUCGAGGGGCAGCAUAAAAGUAGCAAUACUUGGUGGCGACCGGCGCACGGGUGAGUAACGCGUAUGCAACCUACCUAUCAGAGGGGAAUAACCCGGCGAAAGUCGGACUAAUACCGCAUAAAACAGGGGCACCGCAUGGUGAUAUUUGUUAAAGAAAUUCGCUGAUAGAUGGGCAUGCGUUCCAUUAGGUAGUUGGUGAGGUAACGGCUCACCAAGCCGACGAUGGAUAGGGAACUGAGAGGUUGGUCCCCCACACUGGUACUGAGACACGGACCAGACUCCUACGGGAGGCAGCAGUGAGGAAUAUUGGUCAAUGGGCGGGAGCCUGAACCAGCCAAGUCGCGUGAAGGAAGAAGGAUCUAUGGUUCGUAAACUCCUUUUGCAGGGGAAUAAAGUGCAGGACGUGUCCUGUUUUGUAUGUACCCUGAGAAUAAGGAUCGGCUAACUCCGUGCCAGCCGCGGC